rnacentral:rRNA from 1 species
GACGAACGCUGGCGGCGUGCUUAACACAUGCAAGUCGAACGAAGUGGCGAACGGGUGAGUAAUACGUGGGUAACUGCCCUCCUUUUUGGGAUAACCCUUGGAAACGGGGUCUAAUACCGAAUAAAGGGGGAUGACUCGCGUCCUAUCAGCUUGUUGGUGGGGUAGGGGCCUCCGAAGGCGACGACGGGUAGCCGGCCUGAGAGGGCGACCGGCGACAUUGGUCUGCGAGACGGACCAAUCGCGAACGGGAGGCAGUGGUCGGGAAUCGUGCACAAUAGGGGAGACCGUGAUGCAGAAACGCCGCGUGCGGGAUGACGGCUUUCGGGUUGUAAACCGCUUUGAGCCAUGACGCGGUAGUGGCAGAAGAAGCACCGGCUAACUACGUGCCAGCAGCCGCGGUAAUAC